UGUGUGAAUGCUUACUGGACGCCCUGUCCGAGUCUUUACUGUGAACUGUGAUGAAUUCAUUGGAAACCACAUGCGUGUAAACACAGCGGGUUGCACAACACGUGUAGUGCAUUUACUGUAAGUACAAAUGGGGAAAUAAAAUCACUCACUCCUGCUGCAUAAGCCAACAGAGUAUUUACAUACACCAGUGUUUCAUAAAGAGAAGAGGAUUAUUUAUGCCUACAUAAUGAGCGGUUUUACCACUUUAAGAAGGAAGUUGGUAGAUUAACUGUUGAUCAGCUGUGAUUGUUCCACUUAACUUACAUUAUAUCACCACAAAGAGUUGAUUCUGCGUCGCUUCUCCUAAAUGCUUUAGAUCAGCGAUUCCAACACUGUAUUUGGUGACAAAGCUGCUUGUUUUUAACAGAAACUGAGUAAACUGCGGCUCAGGACGCUCUGAAUGGAGUCCAGCAAGCUCGUAAUUUUACAUGUGUCCUUUGCACCACGCUUGUGACUCGGGUGGAAAUGGGUGUCAAAGGUGAGCGUGAAUCUGACAAAUACAGAAAUACAGACAGCAGGUCAAGGACGGCAGGUAGUUCAAGGGAGGGGCGGAGCCAGCUAAUGGUUACACUGAGUUAAACAAAUGAGCAGAGGGGGCGAGUCACAGAGGGGGUGGAGCCAGAGCCACAAACAGACACACCCACACAAGCAAAGUGAUUAUCUCAGUGGAAAAAUGGUCCAGAUGUCUCCUGCAUCCCUGCAGAUUCAUGUUCUCUUUUUUUUAAGUAUCACAGCAGGAGCGGCCCAGAAUGACCUAGAUCUGUAAAGGAGCGACGGCGGGACGUGCUGAGACGCUUACAGACAGAAAUACUGCUUAUUUUAGUGUACCACAUGCAAUUUUACAUAAAAAGUUUUUAUUAGACUCACUGUAAUUCAUUGUUGGUCAUAUUUAGUAUUCAACCAAUAAAGGGCAUGAUAUCAGCUGCUGUAAUGUCUAUAUACUGUAUGAAAUACAGCAAAAUCACAAGAGACAUGCACAAAAUUUAUGCAUUUACUUGUAAUUAUUAAAUCAUUCACUUAAAAUGUAUAAUUCGCUUUCAAG